GAUAAUCAUGUCAUAUAACACCUGAGACUGUGGUCGAAGAAAUUGGAAACUUUUUAAUAGAAGGAUCAGACACAAAAAGGGACGUCUCAAACUCAGCUAACUGGUUUAUUUCUCGACCAUCCUACAUCAUGACUGACUUGCCCACUGGCGCCACCCUGGCCUUGCUGUUUUCAACGGUUCUCAGGUUGCCGGAGCGGCGUGUUUGAACUGUUUGAACCACAGGUUAAACCACAGGCACCACAGGUUUGAACUGUUUCAACGGGAGUCAUGGCAAAACGAACGGAGUAGCACUGCGUGGCCUCGCAAUCCCAGCGACCCGACGAGCUCGCAAAGCGUGCUCGGAAGACGACCCUCCCAAAGCCGACGACGCGCACUCACCUCUGUGGACAGCGAAGAAACAUCGUCGCACUGUGACAACGGCGACUAGUGCACGGCAUUUAUUUUUUGUUGGCGUUCGUUUCAUAAAACCCGUCUAUAAGGAGCUUGUGACCACCCUGAAAGGCUUGACGAGCUACGUGCUCGUAUUCAUGUUGGUGCCACGAGGUGGGCCUUUCGGGCAUGCCAGGGAGGAUGAGAGGCUGUCCCUGAACCGCCUACUAGUACAAAAAGGUGUUGCCCUCGGCGUUACCAUCGUGAAUGUCGACUGACCACGUCGCUCCAUCUCCCAACAGAAGCACCAAACAUUGCUUUCGGCCAUCUGCGUCCUGACACAGGUUGCUAAUGCUUUGCAAAAACAAAGCUGCACCUUUCGAUUCUACAAGCACCUGUUCCUCAACCGAGGCAACAUUGUCAACCUCGACAAGCUGGCUACCGACCAGUACAACGUGUGCCGUGUCCGCGGCAUCCAGCGCCUUGCAUUUGCGCUCGGCAAGGCACUCGCAAAACUUUAUGGUAAUUCUAUCCUUGGUGGGUGCUGUGCCCCAUUCUGACGUUUCAAAGUCCACAGGUGGAGCCUGUGGCCAGUGGGGAGGUGUAUGUCUCCAAUUUGCCGGACCCUAGCACUAGCUAAGUUACCGCCAAAUUCACAAACCUCAUUCCAAUUGAGGCACCCCUCCACUUCCUCAAGGAAGGUGCGAGGGCCGGUGCUGGCCAGUCGCGACGACGGAUAGGCGGCCUAGGCUGCUUAGCCGUCCUCGCGAUUGGCCAGUGCCGUCCCUUGUGCCUUCCUUGACAAAGGGGGGGGGGGGGGGGGGGAUUGCCUCCAUUGGAAUAAAGGUUUGUGAAUUCGGCAGUUAGUGUCCCUUUUCCCCUAUGUGCAAUUCCAGCCAAUAGAACCUUUCUGAUGCGUUAAUUCAGUUUGUUUAUUUCUAAAGAGCAUCUCAGUGCCUGCAUUUUGAUGUGUCAUAAUGCUCUACUGUAAAAUCUCAAGAGGUAGCCCACCCCUAUUUUUGGCUUGAUUUGCUUUAUUUUUUUAAACUCUGAAAGAUAGCCCACUUCUAGUAAUAGCAGUGUUGGGAUCAGUGAUGGCCUUGGCACAAAUGCGGCUAGUUAGUUGUGGCGGGAUACAAGUGAAUGUUGCUGACUGGGAAGUACAUACCUCGGGAUUUUGUGGUAUAUGCCAAAUAGCUUUAGAAAUAAAGGGAUCUGCAGAGAUGCUUGAAACAUCAUCACUUUUCUCAUGGUAAGGAAUGAAUUCAGGGCCAUAGAAGGGCUGCAACAAAUUGUGUAGUUGGGCUAGUUGGUUGGUCAUUUUGAAAUAAUAUCUAUCUGCUUCUUUUUAUGUUUACUUACUGUACCAUGCAGAAGAAAAAUUUUCAGUUGUAAGUGAGUGCUGUGUGUGUGUUCUCUUCGUCUUUUUUUUUUUUUUGUGCUGUUUUAAUAUCAUUUCAACUAUAGGGGGCAGGGAUGGCACCAGCAUCUUCAUAAUGGGUGGGGGCAGUGGGGAGGCCAACCAAAUUGGGGGGGGGGGGUUGCUCUGAGGUGCCGUCGCCCACGGGCUUUUCGAAGAUAGCUUAUAGCUUAUGCGGUGUGCUCAUUGAAAAGGGAAAUGAGGAGACACGAGAAGGAAGAGGCGGGGAGGGGGGGUUAUUACAGCAUUGACCUCUGCCCCCUGUGCUCAUGACUCACAACCAGGUUUUGCUUCCUUUUCUUAGACAGUCUGGAAUUCCUCUGACCUUGACUUUAACUAAGCUCCCCUUCGUUCACGUCUCCGGUCUCCGCUGAAGAUAAGCGCCACACAGCGGAAUGCGGAGAGAAAAGCCAGCAGGCGUCACAAAGGGGAGCUGCUUUUUCUAAGGCGCUAGAUAGCUUACUCGCCCACGGUACGACUUGCAGUGGCUGGAAGUUAA